GUCUUGUCAUUCAAAUAGUCAUAUACAUGGAAACCUUGCCAUUGUUUAGGAAUGCAAAGCGACAAUUAAGGGACAAAACAUGCGGUAGAAACACUAACAUUAACUUAAAAAUUCACCUUUCAAAACAGAAGAAUAAAACAAAGUAGGAGCACUGAUCAUGCUUUUCUUUUUCUUUUUUUUUAAUCAUUA